rnacentral:rRNA from 1 species
AAAUUGAAGAGUUUGAUCAUGGCUCAGAUUGAACGCUGGCGGCAGGCCUAACACAUGCAAGUCGAACGGUAACAGGAAGAAGCUUGCUUCUUUGCUGACGAGUGGCGGACGGGUGAGUAAUGUCUGGGAAACUGCCUGAUGGAGGGGGAUAACUACUGGAAACGGUAGCUAAUACCGCAUAACGUCGCAAGACCAAAGAGGGGGAGCUUCGGGCCUCUUGCCAUCGGAUGUGCCCAGAUGGGAUUAGCUAGUAGGUGGGGUAACG